rnacentral:rRNA from 1 species
UACGGGGGGAGCAAACGUUGUUCGGAAUCACUGGGCGUAAAGGGCGCGUAGGCGGGCUGCCAAGUCUGGGGUGAAAUCCCACGGCUCAACCGUGGAACUGCCUCGGAUACUGGCGGCCUCGAGGGAGGUAGGGGCGUGCGGAACUGUGGGUGGAGCGGUGAAAUGCGUUGAUAUCCACAGGAACUCCGGUGGCGAAGGCGGCACGCUGGACCUUUUCUGACGCUGAGGCGCGAAAGCCAGGGGAGCAAACGGG